CUCCGAAUAUAAGCCCCCCCUCCCAUGUAUAAGCCCCCCUUGUGUAAGCCCAUCAAAAAUCGCUUACGAAAGAAUAUAAGCCCAGUGCUUUUAGGUGGAGGUUUACGGUAGAUUGUCAAAAAACUGCAUAAUUGAUAAGAUGGUGUCCAUGCAUGGGAUACAAUACUUAUGGUAUAAUCAGGGAAGUGACAAAAACACAUGCAGUACAGAAAAACUGGGGUAGGGCUAAGACUGUACCAUUAGAAGCUCCCCAGCUCUAUCCUUACAAAUAAAAGAAAUGUCAGUAUUACACCAGACACCAAUAAACAAUUUUGCAGCUUCUACUAAACAUUUUCUUUCAAUGUUUUUUAACUCAUUGAGUAUUUGAGUGUCAGCACUCUCCUCCUGAUGGGUAAAUAGUCUAGUGUUAGACAGUAAAAUAAUCUGGCGUUAGGCAGAGUAAAAUAAUAGACAACUGGUUGAUCAUUUGAGCAUAGAUAACUGG